rnacentral:rRNA from 1 species
UACGGGAGGCAGCAGUGGGGAAUAUUGCACAAUGGGCGCAAGCCUGAUGCAGCCAUGCCGCGUGUAUGAAAAAGGCCUUCGGGUUGUAAAGUACUUUCAGUCGUGAGGAAGGUGUUAAGGUUAAUAACCUUAGCAAUUGACGUUAGCGACAGAAGAAGCACCGGCUAACUCCGUGCCAGCAGCCGCGGUAAUACGGAGGGUGCGAGCGUUAAUCGGAAUUACUGGGCGUAAAGGGCACGCAGGCGGUUAAUUAAGUUGGAUGUGAAAUCCCCGGGCUUAACCUGGGAAUGGCAUUCAAGACUGGUUAGCUAGAGUCUUGUAGAGGGGGUAGAAUUCCAUGUGUAGCGGUGAAAUGCGUAGAGAUGUGGAGGAAUACCGGUGGGCGAAGGCGGCCCCUGGGACAAAGACUGACGCUCAUGUGCGAAAGCGUGGGGAGCAAACAGGGAUUAGAUACC